CCUACGGGCGGCAGCAGUGGGGAAUAUUGGACAAUGGGGGCAACCCUGAUCCAGCCAUGCCGCGUGUGUGAAGAAGGCCCUCGGGGUGUAAAGCACUUUCAGUGAGGAAGAACGCCUGGUGGUUAAUACCCAUCAGGAAAGACAUCACUCACAGAAGAAGCACCGGCUAACUCCGUGCCAGCAGCCGCGGUAAUACGGAGGGUGCGAGCGUUAAUCGGAAUUACUGGGCGUAAAGCGCGCGUAGGUGGCUUGAUAAGCCGGUUGUGAAAGCCCCGGGCUCAACCUGGGAACGGCAUCCGGAACUGUCAAGCUUGAGUGCAGGAGAGGAAGGUAGAAUUCGCGGUGUAGCGGUGAAAUGCGUAGAGAUCGGGAGGAAUACCAGUGGCGAAGGCGGCCUUCUGGACUGACACUGACACUGAGGUGCGAAAGCGUGGGUAGCAAACAGGAUUAGAUACCCUAGUAGUC
rnacentral:rRNA from 1 species